GAUGAAGAACGCAGCGAAAUGCGAUACGUAAUGUGAAUUGCAGAUUUCAGUGAAUCAUCGAAUCUUUGAACGCACAUUGCGCCCGCUAGUAUUCUGGCGGGCAUGCCUGUUCGAGCGUCAUUUCAACCAUCAAGCCCUAGGCUUGCGUUGGAGCCCUGCGGCUGCCGCAGGCUCCCAAAUCCAGUGGCGGGCUCGUCGUCGUACCGAGUGCAGUAAACAUCCUCGCUCAGGGAACGUGACGGGUUCUUGCCGUGAAACCCCCCACAUAUCAAGGUUGACCUCAUCAGGUAGGAAUACCCGCUGAACUUAAGCAUAUCAAUAAGCGGAGGA
rnacentral:misc_RNA from 1 species